GCCUCCUUCCAGUACCAGUGCGUGGAUGCAAAGCCGUUUCCCACAGACCUUCACACAGGCCAAUUGUGAGCUCAGCAAGUAGGAAAAGCAUACAUUGGUCAGGAGCAGUAGCAUACGACACUAUAAAGAAAGGGAAAUCCUAGUGUGAAAAGGAAAGCUGAAUUGCUGAUUUCCAAUCAUCAUUUCAAAGGGAAAGAGAGGACAUGCAGGACAGUUGUAGCAUCA